rnacentral:precursor_RNA from 1 species
GGCUUGAGGACCGUAUUCAUGGAAGAGGAUCGAACAGAGAUGAAGUAGACAGUAUGUUGGAUAAAUCUGAAGGAAGAACAUCAACAACAAAUUUUGUGAGCAGUAUAUAACUACAUUUCAGAAGUCUUAUAUGGAUGUACAGAAAUUCAAUGAGGAAAAAGAAAAAUCAGUGAAUAGUUGUCAAAAAGAACAACAAGCAUUGAAACUGUCCAAAUGUAGUCAGAACCAGGCCCUGGAAGCAGGUAAAGAAAUGCAUGAGAAGUCCAUGGAGCUGCAUCAUUGGACUCAAACUGAAUGGUCCAUGUGUUGCCACUGAUGUGAGCCAUUUGCAAGCC